CUGAUACCUCGCUUACAGAGUUCCCAGCAGCCUCACCAGCUGACUUGUUUGUGCCUAAUUCUUCUCCCGUGCGCCGACUGGAAGUGGCAAUGGAUGAUGGAGGCCAACUUACUAAGUACUGGGCUGCACUUACAGAUAUGCCAGAAAUAAUACUUAAAACCUGUCAAACUUUAAACCUAGUUACCCAUAUGCCUGAACCUGACCAUUGUACCUCUUUAUAGAGCAAAAACUGUUCAGAGG